AUACGGAGGAUGCGAGCGUUAUCCGGAUUUAUUGGGUUUAAAGGGAGCGUAGGUGGGAUAUUAAGUCAGCUGUGAAAGUUUGGGGCUCAACCUUAAAAUUGCAGUUGAUACUGGUUUCCUUGAGUACGGUACAGGUGGGCGGAAUUCGUGGUGUAGCGGUGAAAUGCUUAGAUAUCACGAAGAACUCCGAUCGCGAAGGCAGCUCACCGGGCCGGAACUGACACUGAUGCUCGAAAGUGCGGGUAUCAAACAGGAUUAGAUACCCUGGUAGUCCGCACAGUAAACGAUGAAUACUCGCUGUUUGCGAUACACUGUAAGCGGCAAGCGAAAGCGUUAAGUAUUCCACCUGGGGAGUACGCCGGCAACGGUGAAACUUAAAGGAAUUGACGGGG
rnacentral:rRNA from 1 species